UACGGGGGGAGCAAGCGUUGUUCGGAUUUACUGGGCGUAAAGGGCGCGUAGGCGGCCAGCACAAGUCAGUUGUGAAAUCUCCGAGCUUAACUCGGAAAGGUCAACUGAUACUGUGCGGCUAGAGUGCAGAAGGGGCAACUGGAAUUCUUGGUGUAGCGGUGAAAUGCGUAGAUAUCAAGAGGAACACCGGUGGCGAAGGCGGGUCUCUGGGCCGUAACUGACGCUGAGGAGCGAAAGCGUGGGGAGCGAACAGG
rnacentral:rRNA from 1 species